UACGGAGGGGGCUAACGUUGUUCGGAAUGACUGGGCGUAAAGCGCGCGUAGGCGGAUUGGCAAGUUGGGGGUGAAAUCCCGGGGCUCAACCUCGGAAUGGCCUUCAAGACUGCUGGUCUUGAGUUCGAGAGAGGUGAGUGGAAUUCCGAGUGUAGAGGUGAAAUUCGUAGAUAUUCGGAGGAACACCAGUGGCGAAGGCGGCUCACUGGCUCGACACUGACGCUGAGGUGCGAAAGCGUGGGGAGCAAACAGG
rnacentral:rRNA from 1 species